UACGUAGGGGGCUAGCGUUGUCCGGAAUCAUUGGGCGUAAAGCGUGCGCAGGCGGUUGUGCAAGUCAGAUGUGAAAUCCCCGGGCUCAACCUGGGAACUGCAUUUGUGACUGCACGGCUAGAGUGUGUCAGAGGGGGGUAGAAUUCCACGUGUAGCAGUGAAAUGCGUAGAUAUGUGGAGGAAUACCGAUGGCGAAGGCAGCCCCCUGGGAUAACACUGACGCUCAUGCACGAAAGCGUGGGGAGCAAACAGG
rnacentral:rRNA from 1 species